rnacentral:rRNA from 1 species
GACAGAGGUCCCGAGCGUUAGGCGGAAUCACUGGGCUUAAAGCGUGUGUAGGCGGAUUUGUAAGUACCUUGUGAAAUCCCACGGCUUAACCGUGGAACUGCUCGGUAUACUGGGUGUCUUGAGCCACUUAGGGGCUACCGGAACAAAUGGUGGAGCGGUGAAAUGCGUAGAUAUCAUUUGGAACGCCAAUGGUGAAAACAGGUAGCUGGGAGUGUGCUGACGCUGAGACACGAAAGCCAGGGGAGCAAACAGG